ACUCCUACGGGAGGCAGCAGUGGGAAUAUUGGACAAUGGGGCAACCCGUGAUCCAGCGAUGCCGCGUGUGUGAAGAAGGCCUGAGGGUUGUAAAGCACUUUUUAGUGGGGAGGAAUGUUGACAGGUUAAGAGCUAGUUAACUUGACGUUACCCACCAUAAACAGCACCGGCUAACUCCGUGCCAGCAGCCGCGGUAAUACGGGGGUGC
rnacentral:rRNA from 1 species